UAAACAGAGUGCAGCUGCAAUGAGCUACGCUUGGUCUUGUGCUAAACACAACUCCCAGUAGCUCUCAAUCUACUAGGAACUGAGUAAUGUCACUACCAGAGUGAUCCACGAGGGAGCUGUGUUUAGAACUAUCCAGCUUCCUGCGGCUCCCUCGUGUUUUCCUCGGACCUCAUAGGAUAUUGAAAGUAAAAGCUAGAAGGAGUUGCAGUAUGGGGCAGAUACUGGAAAAAAAAUAAAGAGUCCUGGUACUGGAAGGUUUUUUUUUUUGUUGAUGAACUUUGCCUUUUGCCUGCACAUUCUGCUCAGCUAAUACAGCUAUUCAAAAAUGCAAAGAGAAAAUACUAUAACUGCUGACAAGAUGUUACUAACAUUUUGUGUGAAUUUUAUACUGGCAUGGAUGGAAUGCAGAAAGGAACAUGGAUGCAGUGGCGAUACUAGACAUUUUUUUUUUUCCGGGGCAGAGGCUCAGUUGAGCUCCCCUUAUUUUUCCUUUCCAGUGCAGGCAGCCAGUGUACGCUGGGAUCAGUGAGAUUCCUGCAAGCACCUGCCCACCAUUUCUCCUGGCUGUCACAGUGGCGUUUAAAUAGAUUGUGUUGUGUGCAAGGGAGGUUACUAGUGGGCUUUGUGUGUUGUGGUGUGUUUCAUAUGUGAGAGGUAAUUGUCUAUGAUGAUCACUAUUUUCUGGGGGUGACCAUGAUAAGGUGAUAUGGAGGGUGACAGUUUUGCGUGUGACCGGGUUUGAGGGUAGGUGUGACAGGCAGAGGGUUAGUGGGGUGAAAAUGAGAGAUCAGUGGUGGGUGAAUUUGACAGGUUGUGUGACAGGCUGAGGUGAGUGACUGUGGCAGGGUGUCACGUCCCCCUCGCCUCCAUACAGCGUGGCCGCAUCCGAUAGCUGCUGUUACGCUGUUAAAAUAAUAAAAAGCUUACCUAAAGCAAGUCAGCUUGCCAUUCAGCACCGGCGUGGAACGAUUCCCAACCGGUGCGGUAUUCUAAUGAACGCUGGCCGCUGUGGUCCCACUAAACAAUAUAGCUUCGCCUCUGUCCUCAACAAAGAUGGCGCCGAUGUGCGUGUGACGUCACAAACGACGAGCACACGUGUUUUGGGUUUAAAGGCUAUGUACAACCAAUCAUAGCCUUAGGAGGGUUAUUUAAACUCAAAAUAGCAUUUGGUCAGUGCCCUGUUGUGGUUUUCACUAGUUGGUUAACAGAGAGUGCGUUCCUAUUCUAGUUCUUUUUGGUAUUUGACUUUGGCUUGUAUUUUGACUUUCCCAUAUUUCUGGUAUCCAUUACUUUUGGCUUGUUUCCUCGUUGUGUCUCUUUCUGUGUCCCUGACCUCAACGAGUAUUUUGACCAUUCUUUAUUUACGUUCAGUCCGGCUAUUCUAAGGCCCGGUAUGCGUUAUCCUUGUUCAUUGUGUAUUAAAUAGCUCUGCGUGUUGGGUUAUAUAGUAAUCGUGAC